CAUCGCAGUCACUAAACAAACCCAUGUAUGUGAUAUGCUUAAUGUCAUGUUCAUUUGGAAUUGUUUUUAAAUGUUCUUUAGGAACUUCAGACAUAAGCUUAUGCUUGCAUUACCACAAGAAACCACCUGCCAUGAAAAAUAAUUCCCUGUGGAACUUCUGUCAUAAUUUUGAAACAAAAGUCAUUUGAGUUUAUACUGAUUUAUUACAUUUUAGAUAAAAACUUUUACAUGGAGAGAGUUGUAACGCCACCGAUUCGACCAAUCAGGGUUAAGCUAGGAGUCCUAUGAUGCGAGGCCAUAAACAGAGGGGCGUUUGAAUGGUUGUCAAGGCUGUACAUGCAGAUUUUAUAAAGAAAAAACAGAUAUUUAGUGCAUGUCACAAUAUCUGAAGACCAGGGUGUGCAGGCUGUGGGACAAACAGUGACAUCUACAAUAUCUGCAACGUUAAAGUGCUGGCAAUUGCAGAUACAUCAGAGACCAAAGAUUUGGAAUUGUGGAAAACAUUGAGCCGGAAGGUGUAUGCCUCCAGAACCGUAGACCUGACCAUGCUCAAGACGGGAAGACUUGAAAGUGCCUCAAAAAGAAAAGGCAAGUUUGAUUUCAGGAAUAAAAAUGAACUAUUAUGAAGUAGAGGCCUGCCUUACCCCAGUGUGAGACCAUAUAAAUAGCACUCAUUAUAAGUUGUCUGCAUCAUCACAGCUGUAGACUUAAGGCAGACUUUGCAUGACGUUUUAGGCCUAUUGCUAUUUCUGCAUGAUUACACUGGUAUUUUGAACCAAUAAUAGGAACAACUCUCUCAUAACUUGAACUCUAACUCUACUAAAGUUAUUAUUAUAUAACACUUUAGUUGUUUAAAGGUAAAAGUAUUUGUUAGAACUGAUAAGAAAACAUAAGAUUUAACCUGAACGUUCAGAUAACGUUGUGUUAAAGGUGCCCUAGAACUUUUUUUUAAAAGAUGUAAUAUAAGUCUAAGGUGUCCCCUGAAUGUGUCUGUGAAGUUUCAGCUCAA